AUGAGUCAACCUGAUGGGAUCAACAUCCCCGGCGACAAGUUCUACCUUGGAGAUGCUGGCUAUGCAUGUCGGCUGGGUAUUCUUCCACCCUUCAAGAAAACAAGGUACCAUCUCAACGAGUUCUCUGGUAAGAACUAUCCUAGGACUGCACAGGAGCUGUUUAAUCUCAGACACUCCAGCCUUAGAGUAACUAUUGAGAGGGCAUUUGGAGCUCUGAAGAAUAGGUUUAAGAUCCUGGAUCAGAAGCCAUUCCACCCAUACUCCACUCAGGUUAAGCUUAUUCUUGCUUGUUGCAUUCUACAUAACUGGAUCCUCCAGUGGGGCUUUGAUGAACACGUGCCUGAGGAGGAAGAGGUCGAGCCUGACGAUGUUAUUAGCUCCGGCCAUGGUGUCGAGGCAUUUGACGAUGACGCUUGGAAGAAUAGAAGGUUGGAGUGGGCAGAGGCAAUGUGGCUUAACAGAGGUCAGUGCAGGAUUUGA
rnacentral:rRNA from 1 species